CAACCACAGUCCGCUAGCGAUUUACAGUUCAACAUGUUCGGUGCUAAGUACGCCCUCGCCGCCCUCGUCGUUUUCUGCGUUUUCAACGGAAUCGCUUCCGACAAGAUCUUGAAAAUCGGAGGUGCCAUCGGAGCCGCAACCAUCGGCUACGGAAUCCACCUCGCUCCUCUGGCCAUGCUCCUCGGUGCCAAUACCAUCCGCGUGGGUCACUCCCACCCCCCUGUCCACCACAAAACUUUGUACCACGUCCACGACCACGGACACUACGAAGGAUACGGCGGCUACGGUCACGGCUGGUAGACGCGGUACUCAUUAGCUGCACCAUCGUCCACAUUAAUUUGGAACACGGCCUUUUGUACAGUAUUUUUCCUCUCGAGCAGUUUGGAACUCUCCGCCAAGCGAUCGACCAGCUUUCUUCUAGGGUGAAACCCAGGGUUGCCAUAGAGAUGUACAUAUUCCUUGUGGAAGGCCUCCAUCGAAUUCAGGCCCUGAAUGUGAUGUCUUUUGUAAAUAAAUAUAUGUUUACAGUCUGUGGAUGGAA